CAGGGACUUGUGCAUGCUAGGCAAGCACUCUAGCAACUGAGCCACAUCCCCAGCCCCUAAAAGAAAAUUUCUCAAAAAGAAAAUUCACUGAGGUCUAGUUUACACAAAGUAAAACAUAUUAUUUUAAAAAUAGAGCUGGGCUUUGUGGUACAUGCCUAUAAUUCCAGCUACUCAGGAGGCUAAGACAGAAGGAUCCCAAGUUGGAGGUUAGCCUCUCAACUUGUGAGACUGUCUCAAAAAAUAAAGACUUGGGGAUGUAUCUCAGUGGUAAAGUGCCCCUGCCUUCAAUCCCUGGUACCAAAAUAAAUAAAAAAAUAAAUAGGGCAGAGGACAUAACUCAGUGUAAGAGCAUCCCUGAGUUCAAUCCCCAGUAAUGCAAAAAACAAAAAAAACUUAAAAUAUAGUGAUGUCUUGACACAUUUAUGCACUCAUGUGACCACUGUCAACUAGAAUAUGCCUAUCACCCCAAAAAUGUUCUCAUAGCUGAACAUUUGAUUCACCUGAUUCCAGAAAACCAAUGUCCUGCUUUCAGUUAUUAAUUUUCAUAUAAAUGGAAUCAAGUAUUCUUUCACUUUUCUUAUAUGCCUUAGCUCAGCUUAUAUAUUUUAUAUAUUUUUUUAAUUUUUAAAAAAAUAUUUAUUUUUUAGUUCUCGGUGGACACAACAUCUUCGUUUGUAUGUGGUACUGAGGAUCGAACCCAGGCCGCACGCAUGCCAGGGGAGCGCGCUACCGCUUGAGCCACAUCCCCAGCCCUAUAUUUUAUAUUUUUGACAUUCAUGUUGUUUUGGGGUCUCAGCUGAGCAGUCCAUUGUAUGAAUUCACCAGGUUCUUUGCUCA
rnacentral:lncRNA from 1 species